rnacentral:rRNA from 1 species
CAGCCGCCGCGGGAAUACGUAGGUGGCAAGCGUUGUCCGGAAUUAUUGGGCGUAAAGGGCUCGCAGGCGGUUUCUUAAGUCUGAUGUGAAAGCCCCCGGCUCAACCGGGGAGGGUCAUUGGAAACUGGGAAACUUGAGUGCAGAAGAGGAGAGUGGAAUUCCACGUGUAGCGGUGAGAUGCGUAGAGAUGUGGAGGAACACCAGUGGCGAAGGCGACUCUCUGGUCUGUAACUGACGCUGAGGAGCGAAAGCGUGGGGAGCGAACAGGAUUAGAUACCCCAGUAGUCCCUGUCUCUUAUAC